GACAAACAAGCCAAGUUAAGGCUAACUACAGUAAAAAAGGGGGUUAAAGACUAACAUAUAGGGAAAAUUAUGUUUUUUUAAAAAGUAAAAUUUAAACUAAAAAAGCCCAUUCCACUAUUUUCCUUACCUUGAUGCCCCGAAAUUUUGACAAAAAACUGGGACUAGAUACCCCAUUAUUCAAAACAUAAAUUUAAAUAAACAAUUUACUCGAGUACUACGAGCACAAUUAGUGCUAACACAUUAAUACUACCGCUUAAAACUCAAAAAACUUGGCGGUGCCCUAAAUCCUUCUAGGGGAACCUGUCCUAUAAUUGAUGAUCCACACUUUACCUCACCCUGCUUUGAAAUGUACUCUUUAUACUAAAGAGUGCCAUCAGCCUGUAUACCGUCGUCGUCAGAUUACCUAUAAAAGAUAUUUAGUAAUCCUAACAGGCACCUGGGGCUACAUAGCCCAGCCAUCCUACAACGUCAGAUCAAGGUGCAGCCUAUGGCAGGGCAGAGAUGGGUUACAAUGGUCACUUACCACACGAAUCUUUUGCUGCAACACAAACUUGAAGGCGGACUUAGAAGUAAUUUGCCGUGAAUAGCGAGCCCUUCUGAAUAGCGGUUCUAGGGUGUGC
rnacentral:rRNA from 1 species